GCCGAUAUAGCUCAGUUGGUAGAGCAGCUGACUUGUAAUCAGCAGGUCGCCGGUUCAAGUCCGGCUGUCGGCUCCA
rnacentral:tRNA from 1 species